GUGGCUUCAUUAGCACAUAUACCAAAAUUGGGACAAUACAGAGAAGGUUAGUUUGGCUUCUGUGCAAAACUGACAUUUAAAUUAGUGAAGCUUUUGUAUUGUUG